CGAGUGGCGGACGGGUGAGUAAUGUCUGGGAAACUGCCCGAUGGAGGGGGAUAACUACUGGAAACGGUAGCUAAUACCGCAUAACGUCGCAAGACCAAAGAGGGGGACCUUAGGGCCUCUUGCCAUCGGAUGAACCCAUAUGGGAUUAGCUAGUAGGUAAGGUAACGGCUUACCUAGGCGACGAUCCCUAGCUGGUCUGAGAGGAUGAUCAGCCACACUGGGACUGAGACACGGCCCAG
rnacentral:rRNA from 1 species